AUUGAACGCUGGCGGCGUGCUUAACACAUGCAAGUCGAACGCGAAAGGGACUUCGGUCCUGAGUAAAGUGGCGCACGGGUGAGUAACGCGUGGAUAAUCUGCCCUUAUGAUCGGGAUAACAGUUGGAAACGGCUGCUAAUACCGGAUACGCUCAAAAUGAACUUUUUGAGGAAAGAUGGCCUCUGCUUGCAUGCUAUCGCGUAAGGAUGAGUCCGCGCCCCAUUAGCUUGUUGGCGGGGUAACGGCCCACCAAGGCAUCGAUGGGUAGCCGAUUUGGAAGGAUGAGCGGCCACACUGGAACUGAAAACCGGUCCAGACUCCUACGGGAGGCAGCAGUGGGGAAUAUUGCGCAAUGGGCGAAAGCCUGACGCAGCGACGCCGCGUGAGGGAUGAAGGUUUUCGGAUCGUAAACCUCUGUCAGAAGGGAAGAAACUACGUUGUGCUAAUCAGCAGCGUACUGACGGUACCUUCAAAGGAAGCACCGGCUAACUCCGUGCCAGCCGCCGCGGUAA
rnacentral:rRNA from 1 species